AGGAACGCGAAGAACCUUACCAGGUCUUGACAUCUUUUGAUCACCUGAGAGAUCAGGUUUCCCCUUCGGGGGCAAAAUGACAGGUGGUGCAUGGUUGUCGUCAGCUCGUGUCGUGAGAUGUUGGGUUAAGUCCCGCAACGAGCGCAACCCUUAUGACUAGUUGCCAGCAUUCAGUUGGGCACUCUGGUCAGACUGCCGGUGACAAACCGGAGGAAGGUGGGGAUGACGUCAAAUCAUCAUGCCCCUUAUGACCUGGGCUACACACGUGCUACAAUGGAUGGUACAACGAGUUGCGAGACCGCGAGGUCAAGCUAAUCUCUAAAAACCAUCCUCAGUUCGGAUUGCAGGCUGCAACUCGCCUGCAUGAAGCAGGAAUCGCUAGUAAUCGCCGGUCAACCAUACGGCGGUGAAUCCGUUCCCGGGUCUUGU
rnacentral:rRNA from 1 species